AGUGCUGCUGAUCUCCGCCCCAGAGGCGCAGGACGGUGGGGGGGCCUCCGUGGAGCCGAGCCCCGAGAACCAGGCUUUCACCCGUGGAACAUUCCUGGGUGAGGGGCAGCCUGAAGAAAAUGCCCUUGGUGAGGAGGCAUAUAACAACGGCAAUGAAAUCAUCAACCCAACGGAUGACCUUUUGCCACAUGGCGCUGUUGAGGCCCAACCUGCACCGGGCCAUUCUGUGAAGGUAGUUCUGGCUGAACCCCCUCAGGCGGAAGGCGAGGAACCAGGCGAGGCCAAUGAGCUGGUGGAAGAAGCAGCUGCAAACAAAGAGACAGGAGAGCAGGGCCUGGAGCCAUGGAAGAUUGGGGCUAUUUCUGCUGCAGCCUUCCUAGUUUUGGAGACCAUUAUCAUCGUUGUCUAUGUCCUCAAAUGUCGUGACAAAAACAGCACCGCGGGCAUUCAGCGUGCUUGCGAGGAAGGUUGUGUGGAACCGGAGGACGCUACGGGAGGGGACUGCAGUGACGACACGCUUCCUGCAAG